rnacentral:misc_RNA from 1 species
GAUGAAGAACGCAGCGAAAUGCGAUAAGUAAUGUGAAUUGCAGAAUUCAGUGAAUCAUCGAAUCUUUGAACGCACAUUGCGCCCGCCAGUAUUCUGGCGGGCAUGCCUGUUCGAGCGUCAUUUCCACCAUCAGGCCCCCGGGCCUGUGUUGGGGACCUGCGGCUGCCCGCAGGCCCCGAAAUUCAGUGGCGGUCGCGCCGUAGCAACCGAGCGUAGUAACUAAAACGUCUCGCUCUGGCUCGCUGGGCGCGCUCCGGCCGUAAAACACCCCCCCUUUUCGCAAAGGUUGACCUCGGAUCAGGUAGGAAUACCCGCUGAACUUAAGCAUACAAUAAGCGGAGGA